UACGAAGGGGGCUAGCGUUGUUCGGAUUUACUGGGCGUAAAGCGCGUGUAGGCGGGUCGCUAAGUUGGGGGUGAAAUCCCGAGGCUCAACCUCGGAACUGCCUUCAAAACUGGCGACCUGGAGCAAGAUAGAGGCGAGUGGAAUUGCGAGUGUAGAGGUGAAAUUCGUAGAUAUUCGCAGGAAAACCAGUGGCGAAGGCGACUCGCUGGAUCUUUGCUGACGCUGAGACGCGAAAGCGUGGGGAGCAAACAGG
rnacentral:rRNA from 1 species